ensembl:lncRNA
GGUGGGUGGGGGGGGGGGCUGUUUUAUUUAAAGGAAUAUUUAGGUAGUCAACAAACAAACAUAAAGCACCUGACACAUAAACUUGGGUACAAAUUUGAAUUAUAAUAAUUUUUUGGAGGUUUAAAUUGCUGGGGUCAAAUUGACCCCAAGGAUAAAAGAUGUUAGUAAAUUUGAAGGUAAUAGGAUGGUUAACAAAAUGAACACUCAUUUGGAAUGGUUGAGAUUUUGUGAUGCUGAUGCAUGUUGUGAUGUCAUAAUGAAGAACAAGACGAAGUUCCAUCUCUGUUAUUGUGACCAUGUUUCAUUCUACAGCAAGUUUCACAUUCACAGUUUCAUUCUACAGCAAACAGUCAGCACGAACAGAACAGAAUUACAGAUUAAGAAGAGUUAAUUUAACGCAGCGGAGGAGAUAAGGAGGGGGAGUAGUGUGGAGGUUAUGGAGACAGAGGGAAAGGAGACUGGGCAUCAGGAUGUCUACGAAAGCCUCGAAAGGCAUCAGGAUGGUGUGCCCAGGUGUGAAUCAAUGCCCGUCACACAACAGGCGGACGCCCAACAAAUGGAAGAGGAGAUGAGAAAUACCUACGAAAGCCUCGGAAGGGCUUUCAUGGCUCACUUAGAGGCCCAUAGCGGGUACUGUGAGGUCACCACCCAGGACACACUGCCACGAUUAACUUUGGAUCAACAUACCCAUUAUCAAAUGGGUGGAAACAUCCAGAAGGGAAAUCAUCUGGUUAUGGAGUUUUUUAAUGGCAAGAGCUUACAAGGGUACUCAAGAGCGAAGGUGGAGAGAGACCCCUUCAUGAGGAUGGAGAUGAACAAGUGGAGAGCAGAGAUAGAGAGAAAGAGGGAGAUGGAGAGAGAAAGAGCGGAGCUGGAGAGAACAAGGAAGGAGGUGGAGAGAAAGGAGAAGGAAGUGAAGCUAAUAAGAGAUGAGAUUCUAAGAAAAGAGGAAGUGGUGAGGAGGAGAGCAGAGAUGGAGAGGGAGAGACAGGCGAUAGAGAGAAACAGACAGGAGAUUGAGAAAGUGAGAGUAAAGGAAAAGCAAGGAGAGAAACAGGAAAAAAGGAUAGAGCAGAUGGAGAGAACGAUAGCAGAGAUCGUGAGAAUAUGGAGGGACCAAAAGAAAAGGCAGACAAAAAAUGAAAAGGAACAUGCAUGGCUUUUGGAGAGGAGGAGUGCAGAGAUGGAAAGAUACAGAGAAAUGGAGAGGGAGAGACAGGCGAUAGAGAAAAGAAGACAGAAUAUUGAGAAAGUGAGAGUGGAGACAGAGCAAAAAAGAGAGGAACAGGAAAGAAGGAUAGACAUGGAGAGAGCUAAAGCAAAGAUGGUGAGAAAGAGAGAGGAGAUUGAGAAAGUGAGAGUGGAGAUGGAGCGAAUAAGAGAGGAAGUAAAAAUUGAAAUACACAAAGAAAUGGAGGGACAUGGAGACCAGAGGCAAAAAGGAGAGGAGAGACAAGAGGGAAGUGAGAAAAUAGAGGAGGAAACCUGCCAGCCAUUGAAGUCCAUGGGACUAUCCUUUGAAGACACUGAGGAUGGAUCAGAAGAAGACUGGAAGGAAACUGAGAAGGUGAUGAAAAGGAGGUGGGAGACUCUGUCAGGAGACAGCGAUGACAGCGACGGGGAGACUGACUCUGAUGACUUGUGGAUGGAUGAGGUGGAGAGACAGGCGAAGGAGGUGGAUCUAAUAACAGGGAAAAAGGAAGUGGGGAGGAGAGCAGAGAUGGAAAGAUACAAAGAAAUGGAGAGGGAGAGACAGGCGAUAGAGAGAAAGAGACAGAAUAUUGAGAAAGUGAGAUUGGAGACAGGAAGACAGGAAGAGGAAAGAAGGAUAGAGAUGGAGAGAGCUAAAGCAGAGAUGGUGAGAAAGAGAGAGGAGAUUGAGAAAGUGAGAGUGAAGGCAGAGCAAAAAAGACAGGAAAGAAGGAAAGAGGAGAUGAUAGCAGAGAUG